CAUUAAGUGGCUGAAAAUAAGUAAUGGUCUCUUAAACCAUAAUAUAGUAAAAAAUACUCUUAAUGA
rnacentral:tRNA from 1 species